GACAGAUAAGAAACAAGACACAUAAUGCAUGAGUAAGUUAUAUAGCUUAUAUUAGGAGAAAUUCUGUUUACAUUUGGCAAUUAAUAUUUGACAAAAGAGUAAAUGACAGGAUUGGUAUGGAAGGGAGGUAAAGGUUUAAUUAGAAACUUUGUGACAGCAACUUAAGAUGUUUAGUAAUAAUUAAAGCUAACCUGUAUUUACAAUGUGCAUUAGCAAGCCUUGAAAAAUAUUUAUUAAAAUCCAAUGAUUCUAAAACUAUAAAUAGAUAUUUUGCCCAGAGUUUCCAAAUAUGCCAGAUGUUUGGGGAUUUAAUGAGCAUUGUAAUUUAGUAUUUGGGAAAUAGGAUAUAGAAGCUAAAGAAUAAACAGACCCAGAAAAGAAAGGAAUCAACUCCCAAUCUCAGAGUACCUUUUAGUAUCAACAUACAGUCAUAAUCCAUUUACAGAUAUAGCAUUUAUAAAUUUCAGUCAUCCUUGACUACUUCUGACUCCACGAAGUGUAAAGGCAAGGAUAAACUACUGACUCAUGUUUUGUCACAAACCCUCAUCUUAGCUAGUUGUUUCUUCACCAGCCUUCACAAAACACCUAACAGAUGCUCUUUGAGGAAAUGAAAUGUUAAAGCUUAAAUUUAGUUAGUUACUGACCACAUGGUUUUUUUCUAGAUAUUGUUAGGGGUGAUAUAGAAACAAUGGUGAAUAAAACCACAAAAAUCAAUGCCUUCUUGAGCAGACCUUCUCUUAGGAAAUCCACGUAAGUUCCUGUAAUCGUAGCAGGCUGCAGCUCAGCUGAAUCAAAGUUAAAUGAUUUAUUUUCUCCAAUGCCCAACUCUCUGCUAGUAGAUGUCACUGUGAAUCGAUUGUGCUGGUUCUUCUCCCACUGAAGGACAGUGUCACUCGGUUCUGUUGCUGGCUGUCUUCCUGUUGGGUUUGGCUCAUGAGCUUCACCGGCAGAAGAUAGGAGGACCAGAGAAGAGAGAUCUCUUCCCUGCUCUCUCAAUGCCCCAGGUCUGAGGGAGCAGAGGUGUCCUUCCGUGGGGGUAGCUCCUGCCGGGCAGCCCCUCCUCCAGGACUCCAGUUCCCACUGAGCUCUGGGAUCAAUAUUUAUUUUCCCAGCUCACUGAGGCCUUCUAUUUCUGGUCUCUAGGUGUCUUAAUAUCCCUUUGGUAUUCUUAACUCUGCCAAAAUGUCUUUAAAUAGUUUUUUUCAUUAAGCUUUCUCAGUUGGAUUAUCUGAGUAAAAUUCUGCUACCUGCUGCACCUCUGAUGAUACUCCAAUUUUGUGCCAAAUAUGAGAAUCAUGGUGAGGGGUGGGUGCAAGGUUUGAGCUUAUGCUCUAAACAUUAGAAUCGAAGGGAAAGAACACAUUGAUGCAUAGAUCUUAUCGACGAUGGAACUGAGUAACAAAAACAUAUGUUGAUAAUCCGUUAUUAUGGCAUCAUUGAUAUGCUGAAGACUAGCUCCCCCAGAGAUUGGUGAGUGGUGGGUAAUUUUAUGGGCAUUGUAUGUUUGUGUAGGGCACUGUGCCUUUUUUGAGGAGCCCCAGAAAGCCUCACACAGGAAAUACGCUUUUAGGAAUUACUUGGUUGAAUAAAGUUAAGGACCCAUUGAGCUAGUAUUCCACUGAAAUUUGAGGAUUCAGAGAUAGAAAAGAGUGACAUCCAGUCAAAGGUAAAAGCUGAGCACAUUCCCCUGAGUGGAGUUGAGUAUUAACCUACAGAAUAAGACCAAGAAAGGAAGAUUAAGGUUCUCAAUAUUUUCAUGACAGGUAAGAGUUGCUGAGAAUUUGGUACUUUAUGGGGAGUGCAGUGAAAAGCAACCACAAGCCUGAAAAAGAAUAACAUCAUGCUUAAUUUUACAGAUGUUAUAAAUGACAUUAUUGUCCCCAUAAAAAAGUGACUGACUAGACAGGGAAGCCGGUGAAUCGGCACAGUCUCAGGGUCACGUGGCAAGCUCUUGGCUAAUUCUGGCACAGGGUUAAAGGAGAAGAACUAGAUUUAAGAAUCUAAUAAAGCAAGAAAGUUUUGGCAACCAAAUUGUGGAGCAAGGGACAUAGUCACAUUAAAAAGAAUCUUGAGUGUCUUGUUUGGGAGGUUGCUUCUUACUCAUUUUAAUGGGUCACUUAGGAUCAAAACAAGUUAAAAAAGGCAGAAGAUUAAUUCUGCCUUCAUUCUGCUGGAUUUCAGUUAGCACAGGAACCUAUUUCCCAGAAACCUUGUAUGAAAGUUGUUAGAAAAAAAUAAGCCAAUGAAGACAGUUGUAGAACCUAUGGUAUUUACCAAUAUACAGUGAGUAUUUCUUAUGGUUGAGAGAGAACAGGACUUGGGGUGACUCAGACCCAAGGUCAAGCCACAGCUCUGUCAUCACUGGCUGUGUGACUGUGGGAAAGUUACCAGGCUUUAGCUGACUCUUUUGUAAUGUGAGUACAGUAACAGCAAGGUUAUAGGACUGUGGUAAGAAAUAAAUGAAAUCAGUGUAAACCUGUUGACAUAUAACAGGUAUCCCCACAAAUGUCUGUUCCCAUUUUGAAGACAUAAUCCCAAAUUGCCUAGUUUUCCCUCUCCUUGUCCCUCUCCAUCUCCCUCUUCCUCUCCACUCCAGCCCCCUAUGCUCACCCUCUAAAGAGGAAAUUGUAAAUAUUUUGAUUUUGGGGCUACGCCUUGUAAAUAAACGUUACCCCUCUAUCACAGGCUCUCAGAAAUUGAAUUGGAUAGCCAUCCGCACUCAUCAGCCUGACACUCUGACACUCAUCUACUCUUGGAUAUUUGAAAAGAUGAGCAAAACAUGAAGCUUAGAGCCCUGCUGGGAAAGCAGAUGGAUUAACUAGAGUGUUCUAAAGCAGUGGUUCUCAAUCUUGGCUGUGCAUUAGAAUUACCUGGGGAGGAUUUAAAUAUCCCAAUGCCCAGCCCUCACUCCAGACCAAUUAGAUCAGAAUGUCUGGGGAUAGGACAUAGGCAUCAUUCUUUUUAUAGCUCCCUGGUGAUUUCAAUGUGUAGCCAAUGUUAAGAGUUGCUCUUCUAGUCCAAAUUAAAACCUGAAGGAACAAUGAGGAAUUAUGGCUGUAUCAAAUCUAGUAACUCAAUGGGCUGAACUGCCUACUGAUAAGGCAAUAAGUUUUGCUUUUCUAAAGCUAUUGAUUAUAGAAAGCACUGAAAUUACUCACACUGAGUAGCCUGUGCCUUCAUUUUUGAAAUCUCACUUAGGAAUUCUGUAACCUGAAAAAGCAAAUACAUAAAAGAGGGUGAUAAAAUACUUCAUUUCCUAUGCUGUGGUUUAUGUUGUAUUAGAAAGCAAAUCCUUAAAUACUCUCACUACAAGUUUAUAUUUUUGUGGUCUCGAUUCUGAAAUCAGAGUUCCUUCAUUCCUUUCCUCAUUCCUUCACUCAGUUACUCACUCACUCUGCUGUAAACUUUAGCUGUCACUUGACUUUGUGACUUUCCUUCUAGAAUGUAAGCUUGAGAGAACAUUAUUUUGUUUUAUUCACCCAUGUGUCUCCAUCACUGUUAACAAUGGUGAACACAUCAUAGGUGCUCAGUAGAUAAAUAAAUAGAAGGAAUUAAUGAAAAUGUUUCUAAUACUGGAAUUGGAGACAAAACAUGAACAUUAAUUUGAGACAGUUGUUAGAUUCCAAAGGGAGUAGAUUUAGGAUGAAACGAUGAAAAUUCAGUGGCGGUCUGGGGUAAACUGCCUCUAUUCUUUACUGCCGUCUUUUGGGAAAAGCCAUAUGUCAGUCCAUUCCUUUAAGGAAUUUGAAAGGGGAGAAAAUCUAGAACAAUUUUUUUCAUUUCACAAAGAUCCCCAAAGAGAAAACUGGUCUAACAUCUCCCACUGUGUACACAGGAGAAGCCUUCUCUUCAAGGCAGCAAAACCCAAAGGAGUGAUGAACAGAAUAAGAAAAAAGGAAGAGCAAAUGAUUGCAUCCAUUUACCCUUUAAAGUUAGCAUCAUCAAGCUGAGUGUGAAAUGGAUGUUGAUAAAGAGAUGGCCACUUCACAACUCGGGAACAUGAAGGACAUGUGAAGAAUAUUGCAUUCGCUGUCAGCUACUCCUUAGUUCCCAUCAAACAUCAGUCAGAAAAGUGGGCUAAGGUUUUGCCUAUGUAAUUUCAUUACCUGUUGCAACCUGUCACUGUUUUUGCAUAAAGUUUGUAAUUAGACCAUUGGGCCAAGGAACCUGAAAAACCUGCCCUGAAUUCUCGUCAAGGUAAAAAAUUUGAUGCAAGAGAAGUCUUACUAAAAUAUUGCAAUGCACAAAUGUGAUCUUUUAUUACAUGCCACAGUCAGGAGAGUGAAGAAGGCCUUAAAUAGAUUAUUCUUCCUUCAAGUCUAAGUCAUUGAGUAUUUAGAGGUCCCGCCUUUUUAAAAAAUCAUGUACUAUUACCAAUGAAAGUACUUACGAUUCACUGUUGCUCUGCUGUGCUAGAUUGGAUAAACACCCUGACUACUUUCUCAGGGAAUGAUCAUGUCCUUUCUUAAUAGUAAUAUAUGGGUGUACAUCAUUGAUUUUAAAUCCACUAAGGUCAUUCAAGAGGUUCCCAUGACAAGGAGACUAAAGAUUCAGGUUGAGGUUAAUCCAGCAGCUCAGAAGCUUUCAUGGGUCUUUUAUGAUAGGUGAGUUAGGUAUCCCUUGCUGUUGAGAUAGGGAAGUAGGAGGUAAAUUGACCUUUAAGCAAACAAUUAUUAGUAUAAGGAAAAUUAAUAUAAAGAAUUAAUGAUCUCUUUUGGAAUGGGGGGGUUGCUUAGGAAAAGUCAGUUUGAGUACUGUGUGUGUGUGUGUAUGGGAGUGUGUGCAUGACUUGGAACAAAGAGUUGCAUCCCCGUGUCAUAUUUGGGAGAUCACUCAUUCAGAAAAGAAAAGUAAAUUAAAAGCUACUAGGCAUUUACUAAAUAAGACAACAUGAUGAGCCUGGGAAAAACAUAGGCUCUGUCUAUAAAGAUCUCUCCCUAGGGAUUAAUCAAUCCCUCAUUGCUAACACCUCUACAUGUUUAAAGGGGGACACGUUUUCCCACCGAGCUCCUCGAUCCUAAUAGCUUAUCUUUUUCUCACUGGACUGCUUCCCUUCAAGUGGAUGAUGUGAGUGACUUUGGAGAUGGGGAAUAAAUUGUGUAAGGUUGUGUUUAAUGGACAUAAUCUUACAUGGUUCCAUUUUCUCCUAUACAGGUUGAACCCACAGAACAGUUCUUUCUAGGUCCCUCAAGUCCUUAACUUUCUUUGUCCUUUCUCCAUGCCCUAUUGUUGAUGGUUAUAUGAUUUUGUAUAAUUUAUAAUGAUAACUGAUAUCAGCCCAUUAUUUCAUUUGACCCUCACAACAUACAGUGGAAUUCAAACGCUGACUCCUUUGACAGCAAACCCUAGGCUUUUUGAAACUCAGCUCCCAGAAGUUCCAUUUUCCUCUUCUUUUUGAUUUCUAACCAAGUAAGUUCCAUCCCUUCAGGACCCAUUAUCACCACAGACAACUUCUGAUUGAAACUGACUGGCUUUAAAGACGUCUCCCUCAUAUACAAUACAGUACUCUCAUAUUCAGUACUCUUGAUUAUUUUAGAGAAAUAUAAUUAAUAUGGAGUGCCUUGCUGGAUAUAGAAAAACAAGACUCUACCUUUUUAAGACUACAGCAACUCUGAUGUUGGGGAGCAAAAGCUUAUGCUUCUUAACGUAAGGAGAUUUCUUCUUUGUAUGACACUGUUAGGGCUGGGACAGUUGUUUUCCGGAAAUGUCAUAGGCAAUGAGUUUAUGCAAAUAAUCCCAGAGGAGGUGCCAUGGGACUCUGAGAGAGUGGUAAUUACAGUUUUCAACCACAGCAUUUUUAGUGAUCAAGCCUUUGGAAUGUAAUCUUUCCAUAUGCCUCCUUCAGACUCCUGAAGUGAUAAACAAUCAUUUGUGAUAAUUGCAAAAUAGCAGCCUCUACUCCUGCCCCGAGAGGCUGGGUUGUAGGACAUUCUGAGUGUCUGCCUUUAACAAGGGGGUGAUUUGGCCAAAUUCCUCACCUGUCCGGCACCCCAUUUCUGGAACUGUAAAAUGAGGGUUUUCUAUUUCACCACCCAUCAGAUCCUGUGCUGUUCAAAAUCUACCUUCUGGGAUAUAAAUUCUUCAAAGAAGAACAGAGUCUAUUUUUGUUUCUUGUCUCACUCUCAACACCCGGUUCAAUGUGCUGCUACAAAUAUGGUUAGCUGUUUGAAAUAGUUUAAGGAAUUAGACAUUAAAGACAAGCUCCAACCUUCCAGUGUAUACUUAAAGUAUUUUCUCACAAGUGUCAAGAUUUUAUGCAUUACAGUAUGCUCAUGAUAUUUUCCCUGGUGUUUUAUUUUGGGCAUUAUAAAAUCUGUAGCAAUUAGUUUCUCACAAGUCUAUUUUAUGCUCAAGAAUCUGUGAUUUCCUAGCCAUGCAAUUUCUACGGUUCUACCUUUACAAGGAAGGUCUGCAUUUCCCAAAUUGAUAUUCCCACUUUUGAUUUGGCAAUUUUCCUUUGCUUGUGCCUUUGGGUUAUGCUCAGUCCUUUUUAAAUGCUAUUUGGUAAAAAAUCAAGUGCAAAUUAGGAGGAAGCUAUAGGCUAGUGAGCUGUAAACAUGAUUUAAAUAGCAAAGUGUUUAUAGCUACAGGAAAUGAGAGAAUGUGUGUGUGAAGAUAAUGUUAUCAUCAUAAUUUCAUAUUUUAAUCUUGCCUGAAAUGUGUGCAUUUCUGCCACAAUUGCCAGCCAUAGAAAUAGAAAUAAGGUUGUGUAGGACACCCUAAGUAGAUUAUGAUUAGCAUAGGGAAAAAAAUCAAUUAUUUGCAUAGAAAGAAGCCCUGCAAUAUAUUUCUCUGCAUCCGUCUGAAUCCUUCAUUUUUACUCCAUUCAACUAUUUUUUAAACCUUGGUCAAAUUGUUAAUUGAGGCAUGCAUCCCAUUUUAGGCAUCUCUUAUAUAGAGAUAUAUAAAGGAAAUAAAAAUCCUGUCCUGGAAUUGGGAAGAAUGUGAGAAAUAAAGGGAGGGUUUAAGAUAGACUAUCUAAUAGAUGUGGAAAUGUUUUCUUUCUUCCAAAAAAAAUAAAUAAAUAAAGGUCUGUGUUAAUUAAAAUAGUUGUCCUAAUCCUUAAAAAGUUUCCAAUUUAGAAAAGAAUAUUAGUAAGCUCUGAAAAGAAAAUUCAUAACCUUCACAGCUAUUAUUAAAAAAAAAAAAAAUCACUGCUUAUAUCCUUAGAGGGUGACUUCUGGAUUGUUGAUGGAAGGUUUUUGUUUGCUGUAAUUAGCAGGUUAUUGUGACAUUAUACACAUUUGUUAGGAAGUAUUUCUCUCUUAGAUUUUGUCCCUUUUCAGGAGGCAUGUCUAGAGCAUGUAUUGUGACAUUCUAUCCUACUCUCCAAUCUGUCAAAACGAGGAUCUGCCUCUAAAGAAUCUUCUGGGUGGACAACCUUAGAGUAUCACUUCCCACUUAGCAAUCAGUGUUUCUGGAAGUACCUGCCCACUUUGAAAAUGUGAAAAAUAUUUUCAUAUAUCUCUGUUUUUAAAUUCCUCUUGUUUCUGUCAUUAGGGCCAUGUUACUUAUUUCUGUAGUCUUUCAUGCCUUUUUUUACUUUUUAAAUUUUUUAAUAAAUGGGAGUUUUUGCUAUACCCCUACCUCCCAUUAAAGAUAGUUGCCAUAUUCAGAAAUCACCUGCUUAGAAUGAUGUUACCACAACUAUCUUUCAUUUGAGCAUCUCCAUGUGCUUUAUGUGUUUACCCAUCCAAGUCAAUAACCAGCAAAUGCAGAGAUAAAUGUCAUUAUCCACAGAGAAGCUCUGAGAGAUGGGAGGCCUUCUCUUGGCCAAUGGCCCAGGCCCAUACUGGAAUCAGCACAAGAGAACCUGGGUUUCUACCUCCUUAGAUUUAAUGCUUUUUAGUUGGGAUCAAAUUUGAGACUUGAGGGACUCUGUUGUGUAUAUUCCAGUUAGGUUAGGAUGCAGCUAGUGAUUAAUUUUAAAUUCUUACCAGGUGAGAGCUAAACUUAGCCAAUAAAAAAUUGCUGCUCAAACUAUUUAUAAACCAGAGCCCAGGAUUUUGUCAGUCCAUUUGCAUUUGUUUAUGCCUACCCAUUCCGAGUUCUGAGGAUUUUAAUUGGCAAACAUUCAGGUAUCUGCGUAUGGGAACCUGACUAUAACAGCCUCUGUGGGAGUUUAGUCACGUUUUAGCUGAAUUAAUGCUAAAAUAAGAUGAAACUAUUAUAGUAACAGCUCUGUGCUGCCCCUCCCCAUUUAGGAGGUUUUACUCUAAGGGGGCAGAUUAGGUCUUUAAAAUAUGGUAAUAGCUGUCUGUCACUAUAAAACAUAUUUUGGAUUGGGCCACGUUUCAAAUUCUUAAAGCUGUAUUCAGUUUUACUUAUUAUUCAUGCUAGAGCUGGAUUAUUGACCUUAGUAGAUUGUUAUCCAACCAAUGAUAGGAAAAUUUUCAAAUAAAAUAUCUUAAAAAUAUAUUUUCCAAUAAGCUGCUGUAAAUCAUGUUUCUCCUAGGAAAAUAUUUAAUAAGAGUUGUCUGGUCAGAGCCAAGUAUUCCUUUCUGAUUAGUGUGUCCUUAUUAUAUUGCUAUCAAAUAUCUUCUUUGAGGAUGUUAUAAAUACAAACAUUAGGAGUAAUAAAUUGGUUUUUUACUUGAUUAAAGUGCAGAGGGAUGCCAUGUGAAACACUUGCCUUAUAUUUGUAUUUAUUGAUGAAAUAUAUUCUUUCCUUCUUAGGUGAGUGGGAUUUCUGACUCUGCUUGUUAUACCACAGCACGUAAGCUUGAGGUUUUGGCAUUCUUUGGAUGACUCUGAUUAAAAUGAGUUCCUGUCAGGUAUAUUUUGAGAAAAGGGGAUGGACAAAUGGCAAAGCAAACAAACAAAAACACUAGAUUGUGUGUGAGGGCAGGAGUAAUUAAAAGAGGCAGUUGCUGUUUCAUGCCUUUGAGUGCCUCCUGGAUUUAUGCAACAGCCCAAUGCGCAAUUAUGCACACCGCCAUCUUACCAUGGCUAAGUGAGGCACUUGGGGUCUUUUUUUCCCAAACAGUAGAUCAGCAGAAAUAAUUGAUCACAGGUGUUUCUAAAAUUGAACCACACUGGGAAACCUCACAGUGUUCAAUGGCCUUUAAAUUCUACCUGCCACCUGUGAAGAGGAGCCCCCUAGGCCAGCAGAGAGAGCAGGGGUAGGAUUCUCUACCUUGAAAUGUGGAGUAUCUGAGGAUACUGCCAACUGUUUUAUAACCCACAACAGGUUUUAUUGUCUGCUUAAAGCUUAUUUAUCCAGGUGGGUGUCUUUGUGUUGUGUGUACUUCUCAAUAGGUAUGUAUUUAAAGUAAGGUCACUUUAGCUUACCAAAAAAAGAAAAAAAAAAGUAAGAAAAGCAAAACAAAACAGAAAACUCUGCUGUCUGGGCCCAAGAUCCAUGCCAGCUUCACAUUAUCAGUUUAAAAAUACAUGGCCUCCGAAAAAGGCAUGAGAGUGAUGACAGGCUUUGAGAGUAGUUCAGGAUUUCAUGGUCUCCAUGGCAACAGCGGGGUUUUCCCAGGUGGUUUCUCACAUCACGUUGGAUUUGUGAGAUCGGGUUGAAGAUUAGAGGGUUAAGGAUCACUUCUUUUUAUCUUGCUCCAGCUCUUUUUAUUUAAGCUGAAGCAAGCCAUUGUUCCCCAAUUUUAGCCCCGAGAAUGUUUCUUCAGGACGCUCAAAUUGCUGGAGUGACCCAGUGGGUCCUAAAUGUUUUGGAAAGGAAAAAAAAAAAGUAUUUUUAAAUAGUUGAAUUGCUGGGUGAGAAGUGUGGGGAGUUGGAAGGGAGGGAGAAAGGGGGCUUUGCUCUCUAAACACCAAUUCUUUUGUAGUGACAUGACAACACAAAGAAUUGAGUGGAAGUGUGUGAACCCCAGGAACUGAGACCCGGAGGAAAAUCAGUAAAGGAAGGGACCUGUUUCCUUUACUUGCUCCUCCAUUAACCAACUAAAUCUUCUCCCAGGUUUAGCUUUCCCCUCCAUGAUAGAAUUUUCUAGGUUCUUUCUUGAGGCCAUGAUCAUCCUAGCUGCUGCAAGUUGCAGAAGUGGAGAUUUGCCAGGAAGAGAGAGAGACUGGGCUCUCGGCCAGUUGUAAGAGUCUCUGCCAUCGUGCAAGUUAUAGUGAAAGUCGAAGGUGGACCGCUUUUCCAUUAUGAAGUAGGGAUUCAAGCCUGAAGGAGACUGUCAGGGGAGAGUGGAGAGAGUGGGAAAAGAAUUGAGACAAACACAAUAGUAGUGAUGAACAAAGAGAAUAGCCAAUGGGUCAAAGUACUGUCCAGCUCCGCGACUUUGAGCAGGUUAUUUAGAUGCUGAGUCUUGUUUUCCUUAACUGAAAAUGUGAACAAUGACAACUAACUUAUAAAGGGCAGGCUAAGCAUUCAGGAUGUGGACACACCUUCUUGGAACUCACAGCUCAUUGUGGGAUACAGAAAAGAAAUAAGAAAAUAGAAAAUGUGAAUGCUAUUACAAGUUGUGGUAAGGGUCAAGUAAGAAGUUUGUUAAAGAGACUGAGAGGGAGGGACCACCAAAAUAGAAGGGAAUUGGAAGAGUUUGGUAUGCUGUUACCAAGGGAGAAGUUUCCAAAAAAGGGAAGCUGUGAUCUGUGAAUGGUGAAGUAGGAAGGUUGAGGACAUGAGGGUAAUCAAGAGACAGGGAAUUUGCUUCUAAAUGACUGAACGAUCAUCACAAAUAAUGAGAAAAUGAGGAACUCUUUGAUUUGGGGGAUGAAAAUGGACUGUUCAUUUAUAUUAAAAAUAUACAAUUAGAGUUGAUUUCUCCUUCUGAUUGUGAAGGACAGUUUGUAACUGACUCCCUCCCACCAAAUCCAAUUAUAAAAUCUGGGUAAAUCACAACAACAACAAUAAAAUAACAUCUGUUUGCAGCCUUCUUCUAACAGCCAAAGCAGGUAGGAUUUGAGGAGCCAACAGCUUGGAGUGAAAGCAGAGAGUAAAAUGGGAGAAGAAAGAGAAGUAAAUUGAGGGAAGAACUGUUAAGCUAAAAGGAACCAGGACUGGAUGAUUUGGGAAAUUCUCUGCCCAUCCAAACUGCAAAAAAAUGCUGAAAUUAGGAGAUUCAGUGUCAAGAAAGUGUGCUCUGGAGAGAACACCAAGGGUGUGACUGGAUGACCUUUUGCUGUUGCCUCGGAAGGAUCAAAAGUUCCUUCAGUAUUCAGUCAUUCAGAGGGCUCUUUGAAGAAAUCAGGCCUCUGACUCAUGGAUCCCCUCAGCCAUCUCAGCAGAAGCCAGUAAUAGAGACUAGAAUGUCCAGGAAAGACCUAUGCAGGAAAUUCUUGUCUAAUGGUGUGAAUCCUAGUGGUGUAUGUGGGUGGGAGAGCCACAGAGUUUUGUAGAAUGUUACGCCAACAAAAACACUGCCAGCUUGGACUGAAGGGAACAGAAAGAGGAUGAAGUACGCUGUUGGACUUCCAAGACUCUACAGACAGGAAAUGGACUGAUAAAACAACUCAGUGGCGAACAGAUGAUACACUUCAUGAAAAAGGAUGGAUGAUUUAGAGGGUGGAGCUGUGGGCACAGGGGGACGGCAGAGCCUCAAACCACAGAUGAUUAUUCCCAGACCUUGAAACCUAAUGAGAUUUUCCCAUCUGGAUUUUGAAAUUACUUGGUUCUGGUGACUUCUUUUUCCUUAGUUCUCCCUCUUUGGAAAUAUGAAUGUCCAUAACUGUUAUCCUAUGCCUGUCCCAUUAUUUUAUUUUGGGAGCCAAUAACUUGUUUCUUGAGUUGCACAGGAUCACAGAUGGAGAAAGAAGUUUGCCCUAGGAUGAAUCAUAGCUAGAGUCUCGUCCAUAACUGAUUUAGAUGAUUCGUGUGAUGAGAUUUGGGACUUUGGAGCUGAUAAGACUUGGAUGAGAUUUGGGAUGUUAGUAUGAUGCUGUCAUGAGUUGAGAUUUUGGGGGAACUUGGGAUGAAGUUAAUGUGUUUUGUAUGUGGAAGAUGUGUAUCUUUGGCAGCCAGAGGGGAGACUGUGGUAAGGUCAAUAAUGUUUCCCCAAAGAUGCCCAUGUCCUAAUCUCCACAACCUGUGCAGAUGUGACUUCGUAUGGUUGUAAGGACUUUGCAAUUGGCGAUUAAACUAAUGAUCUUGAGAUGGGGAAAGGAUCCUAGAUUACCCAAGUGAGCUCAAUGUAAUCACAAGCAUCCUUAGUUGUGGGAGAGGGAUACGAAAGGGGGAGAACCAGAGAGAUGGCAGCAUAUGAGGGACUCAGCCUGGCAUUACUGGCUUUGAAGGGGGAGAAUUAUGGUCACAAACGAAGGAAUUCAAGAAUUCUGGUGGUCUCCAGAAGUUGGAGAAGGCCAGGAAACAGAUUCUCCCCUGGAAGAAAGGAAUGCAGCUGGCCAACCCCUUGCUUUUAGUCCAGUGAGACCUAUUUCAAAUUUCUGACCUCCAGAACUAUAAGAGAAAGCUGAGACACAGCAAGAUAAAAUGACUUAUCCAAGAUCACAUAACAAGCUUACAACUGAGGCAAGACUCAAAUGCUCUCUUCAGAACCAGUGAUCUUUCCACCAGACCAAGGACAACAAUUAACAGCGAUAAUGAUUUGGAAGGAAAAAUGACUAGAAAAUGGAAUUGGUAGUAGUGGAGCCAGAUUCGACUCUGCAGACCAGAAAAAAUAAACAUCCUGGAGGAUGGUGGAGCAACAAGAGAGAAGGAACCCAGCUCCUGGAUCAUCUUGCGGAAGAGAUCUAUCUGCCUCCCCUCCCUGGAUCACCUGCUCGCCUCUAGGCACUUGCGUGAGGAAGACAUUUUAGCCAGGACUCCAGCUAACCCAGUGGCUGUUUGAGGACCCUUUUUAAUCUGUGAUUGUAAAACAGUGAAUUAACUGGAUUUGAUCAGAAUAAGGGGCAUGUUAGAGAAACCUCUAUCAUAUAGCCUAUAAUCCAGAUUGAAAUUUGGAUGACUUCUUUAAUUUAUUGGGAGUGGAGUGGGUGUUAGUGUGUCUUUUGGUGUUAAAUCUUCUGCCUUAGAUUUCUUAGGAUCAAGACAGGGUUUUUAGUAGAUAAGUAGCAUAUUCACAGCACAAAACAAGGAGGAUAUUUUUAUGUGAGACAUUUGAACAACUUUUGCCUUAAAAAUAUCCUUGACUCAUUUGGAAAAAAAUAAAAAAGAAAAGGCACUUUUUCCUGCUUAUUCCACUUUCUAAUAAAUAACUGAAGAUACAAAGAAAUUAUUAUUUUUUUUAAUUUUUUAAGUGAGAUAAUGGGAUCUUCGAAUAUAUUCUUUCUAGUAGAAAAAUAAAAAUAGUCCUGAAUGGACAGGGAAGAAAUAAAACAAUGGUGGGAAAUUUUUAAAAGACUAAAUGUUUACAAUCGUAUGGGAUCAAAAGAGUUUAGAUUAUAGAUAUUCCUGGUCCAUCAGGAAAGAUUGAUAAUUUUUGUAUAUGAAUGUACUGCCCCAAUGACUCGUGGGAAGAAUGGCUUAUCUGACAUUUGUCUUGGAUGUUCAUCUGGCAAGAGGCAACAUGGCUCACUGUUGGGAAAAUAGCCAAUAGAAACCAGUAUUUUGCUAUUUUCAUACAUUGCUAACACGAUUGUAAUCUGGCAAGCACCUUUAAGAACCUUUGGAUUUGAACUCAUUUUGUGAAUUAUCUCUGACUCUGUCUUGUAAGAUUCUUUUCUAGAGCUUAUCUGCUUUCCAUUAUGUUUGAAACCCUUAUUCCAAAUCAUCUGUGCUUUUUUUCAUUUCCCUAGCAGAGAUUUUUUUUUCAUUAUACUUUAGGCAUUCUGAAUUUCAACCCUCUCGUCCUUGCUGUUUUUCACUACCCAGAGAGACAAAGUUCCAUUGGAUUUUCCACGCAGCUACUUUUAAAUAUAAAUGAUGGUGAUUGUUUCCAAACCAUUUUGAAUUUCUUUAUAAAGGAAAAUGUCAUGAAAAUACUGUCAAGUAUUUUUCUAAAACCAGCAUAUAUACCAUCUACUCUCCUCCCCUUUGCUAUCAAUCUUAUAAUUCUAUGAGGAAAUGAAAUCAGGUUUGCUCACAUGAUUUAAUCCAUCAAUGUCCAUAAACGUCAGGACUGAAUCCACGAUGGUUUCCCUACUCCCUAGCUAGCCUCCAGUUAAAGGUUGUCAUUGCAGGCUGGGCACAAAAUAAAAGGAAUUCUCUUUAAAAUAGCCCCAGUUAUGUUGAAUCUAGCAGGAGAAGUGCAACACACUUUCCAGGGUUUGUUUUAGGAUUUUCUCUUCUGAAAUACCUGCUCUUAUCUCAAGACUGGGCAUUAUUUUCAUUUAAAGAAGUUUAUGGAUGGUAUGACUCUCACUCCCAGUUUCUAUCUGAAUUCUAAAUUAAUAUAAUUGCUGCACUAUUCCUGUUCAAGACCUUUGCUUUGCUCAUUUUGACUAAGUCUGGAGCUCUGAAAAUCCUGCAUUUAUUAAUCUGUGUUAACUCAUUUCCUAACUGUGUAAUUUUGAGAAGGUUAUUCCAUUUCUACAAUGGGGAAGUCACUACCUUCUUAAGGGAACCAAAUGAGAAAAUGUAUACAAAAGUGCUCAAUCCAUAGUGUCCACUCAUAAAUAUUAACCGCCCCAGAAUCAAAAUAAUUGAAGUUUUCUAUUGAUAGCUUUGGUGAAAGAGAUUAUGUUUUGGUGUUUGAGAUCUGGUCUUAUCACUUAUAGCAGCAUAGGCCCAAACAGUUACUUAACCUUUCUAAGCUUCAAUAAUAUGGCUAUGUAAAACUCAUUAGCAGAAAGCAUUUAUGUAAACCUCAGAAUAUUACCUGGCUCCCAGUAGAUGUAGCUAGACUUGUAGUUUCUGACAUGUCCAUCUAAGUCAUCUAAUUGUAUUUCUCUCUCUGAAAGGCAUUCAGAGCUAGAGAUCAUCAUUCUGGUAAACUUCUGGCUCGGUAUGGCUGAAGACAGACCCUGAAUCAUGGAAAAUUUACCAAGAUAAUGCCUAACCCUGAGUCCUCCUCAGUUUAACAGCUGAUCUUUGUCAAUCUCCAACAUUACCAGCCAUUUUCCAUCCAGGCGUCUACAUCUACCACUUUACCAUUUACUCAGCCAACCGGUUUUUAAACAGUUUUAUUCAUAUACCGUACGAUCCAUCUUAAUUGUACAAUCAAUAUCUCUUGAUAUAAUCACAUAGUUAUGCAUUCACCACUACAGUCAAUAUGGGAACAUUCUCAUUUCUUCUAAAAAGAAAAUAUUCCAUACCUCUUAUAUCCCCUAUUAUUGACAUUUAGCUUUGGUAU